rfam:Myotis brandtii contig219004, whole genome shotgun sequence.
CCAAAGGCUCUUUUCAGAGCCACUACCGUCCUCACUGACAGUGGCU